CACCUGCAGUCGGCGCACUCUUCGGAGUGAGCGGGGAGGGUUAGUAACGCGUGGGAAAUGACCUUCACUACGGAAUAGCCUCGGGAAACUGAGAGUAAUACCGUAUACGCCCUUUGGGGGAAAGAUUUAUCGGUGAAGGAUUAGCCCGCGUCUGAUUAGAUAGUUGGUGGGGUAAUGGCCUACCAAGUCUACGAUCAGUAGCUGGUUUGAGAGGAUGAUCAGCAACACUGGGACUGAGACACGGCCCAGACUCCUACGGGAGGCAGCAGUGGGGAAUCUUAGACAAUGGGCGCAAGCCUGAUCUAGCCAUGCCGCGUGAGUGACGAAGGCCUUAGGGUCGUAAAGCUCUUUCGCCAGGGAUGAUAAUGACAGUACCUGGUAAAGAAACCCCGGCUAACUCCGUGCCAGCAGCCGCGGUAAUACGGAGGGGGUUAGCGUUGUUUCGGAAUUACUGGGCGUAAAGCGUACGUAGGCGGAUUGGAAAGUAGGGGGUGAAAUCCCCAGGGCUCAACCCCUGGAAACUGCCUCCCUAAACUAUCAGUCUAGAGUUUCGAGAGAGGGUGAGUGGGAAUUCCAAGUGUAGAGGUGAAAUUUCGUAAAUAUUUUGGAGGAACACCAGUGGGCGAAAGGCCGGGCUCACCUGGGCUCCA
rnacentral:rRNA from 2 species